CCCCCUCAGCUUAAUUCCUAGUCACCAGCUCUUCAGUGCCUGUCCUCUUCUUUGAGUAGCUUUCUUCCUCCAGAGCACUCGACUAAUACUCCAGCCAACUCCAUCUGUGAGCCUGCUCAAACCCUCUAUUUAUAUUCCAGUUUCAGAAUGUUCAGGUAGGCCUGGCCAAUCCUAGCCCAGGUGUUACCUUUUAAAUUGUUUGGCUGAAGCUUCCAACUGGACUCCCUUCUACUUUAAUCUGAAUGGAAGGAACCUUUCCCUGGGGCGGCUUCUCACUGGACACCAAAACCCCUAAGCUUUGUCAAAACUACAGCCUUUAAAGAAAAGCCUCUGCGGAAGCCAUUUGUCCUGCAUGCGUGAAGCUAUCAGGAGUCACAGCAAACCAGCAUGUACACUGCAGAGUAAAGAACAAAGAGGCGUAACCAGGACAAUGUUGUGACUGCAGCUUUGGACGGGUCGAUGCAAAUCCCUCUGGACUCAGUUGCUCUUGCUCUCAGUCUCAAGCAACUGUCCGUAGAAGCAGAGCCUCCAUCUCUCCUCAUCCAGCACACAAGUGGGGAGGUCACAUAGCCAAGGCCUCCUCGUAGCAGAGCCCCCUAAGGUGUCUGCUGCAGCUUCUGACCUGGGAAGUUAAACCCCUUCUGUGCAAAAGCAAGACGGAUGGAGAGGGAGAGAGAGAGGCCGUUCCUCCACAGCCUGUGCAACAUUCAGGACCCUCUAGUGGACAAAGGAGAUCAGUGCAGAAUUUCUGUAACCUGUAUGCCUAAUUAGCAUAGGAUAAAAAGUGCCAUAGGUUUCGAUCAGAUCUUCUCUCAGAUAAAUACACAAUUGCAGCUUUAAUUAAAAAGUUGUGCUUUUUUCCUUCUAUUACUGCUGUUAAUAUGUCAGGCAAAAAUCUCUUCCCCAAUUAUUGUUGGUAGAUAUCUAGAACAAAUACAAGUGUUAGAGAAAAGAUGAAAUAUGUGAUGGUUGCUUGCGCUGAUGGGAUUUGUGAUUGCUCUGUAAAACAUGCUUUAACAAAAAUAUUCGCCCUGCUUUAGUUCUCGUGCUCAAGUUGGUGUGAGAUUAAGUUAACAAUCAACUCUUUGUUCCAUCUAUCUCUUUGAGACAGCACAUGACCAGUUUGCUGUGGCUGAGACGAAGCUCAAGGCCAACUUGCCAGGCAAAAGUGAAACUUAAACAGGCCUGCUCUUCCUCGAGGGAAGGAGGGGGGAGAAGGGGGAAACAUGAGAAACUGUCUCAGCAAAUCAAGGCCUGUAGGAACCAGUUGAGCUAAACUGCGCAGAUGCAAGAAUCAAUUAUAAACGAUAUGCUAUAUAUAUAGAAUGUUGCCCUAAGGUUCGGGGCGGCCGCCUUUCUUGAGAGCUCUGUGUCAUUGCAAUAAAGUUUGAUUUGAAA